UACGUAGGGGGCUAGCGUUGUCCGGAUUUAUUGGGCGUAAAGAGCUCGUAGGUGGUUCGGUAAGUCGGAUGUGAAAUCUCCAGGCUCAACCUGGAGGGGUCAUUCGAUACUGCCGUGACUAGAGUUCGGUAGAGGAGUGCGGAAUUCCUGGUGUAGCGGUGAAAUGCGCAGAUAUCAGGAAGAACACCCGUGGCUAAGGCGGCUCUCUAGUACGGUACUGACGCUGAGACGCGAAAGCGUGGGGAGCGAACAGG
rnacentral:rRNA from 1 species